UAAGAGACUGCCGGUGCAAACCGGAGGAAGGUGGGGAUGACGUCAAGUCCUCAUGGCCCUUUAUGGGUAGGGCUUCACACGUCAUACAAUGGUCGGUACAGAGGGUUGCCAAGCCGCGAGGUGGAGCCAAUCCCUUAAAGCCGAUCGUAGUCCGGAUCGUAGUCUGCAACUCGACUACGUGAAGUCGGAAUCGCUAGUAAUCGCAGAUCAGCAUGCUGCGGUGAAUACGUUCCCGGGUCUU
rnacentral:rRNA from 1 species